GACACACGGGACACAGAGCAGACCCUGUACCAGGUACAGGAGAGGAUGGCAGGUGCAGAGCGGGCACUGAGCUCUGCAGGUGAAAGGGCUCGGCAGUUGGAUGCUCUCCUGGAGGCUCUGAAAUUGAAACGGGCAGGAAAUAGUCUGGCAGCCUCUACAGCAGAAGAAACGGCAGGCAGUGCCCAGGGUCGUGCCCAGGAGGCUGAGCAGCUGCUACGCGGUCCUCUGGGUGAUCAGUACCAGACGGUGAAGGCCCUAGCUGAGCGCAAGGCCCAAGGUGUGCUGGCUGCACAGGCAAGGGCAGAACAACUGCGGGAUGAGGCUCGGGACCUGUUGCAAGCCGCUCAGGACAAGCUGCAGCGGCUACAGGGUAAGAAAUGGGGCACCAGAGACACAAGACUGCGGGAAACCCCCCCUAAACUGACACCUGCCCUUCCUAGAAUUGGAAGGCACCUAUGAGGAAAAUGAGCGGGCACUGGAGAGUAAGGCAGCCCAGUUGGACGGGUUGGAGGCCAGGAUGCGCAGCGUGCUUCAAGCCAUCAACUUGCAGGUGCAGAUCUACAACACCUGCCAGUGACCCCUGCCCAAGGCCUACCCCAGUUCCUAGCACUGCCCCACAUGCAUGUCUGCCUAUGCACUGAAGAGCUCUUGGCCCGGCAGGGCCCCCAAUAAACCAGUGUGAACCCCCA
rnacentral:lncRNA from 1 species